UACGAGGGGUGCAAGCGUUGCUCGGAAUUAUUGGGCGUAAAGGGUAGGCAGGUGGUCUCAUUUGUCUAGGGUGAAAGCCUUGAGCUUAACUCAAGAAGUGCCCUAGAAACGGUGAGACUGGAGUCUUGGAGAGGGUCGUGGAAUUCCCGGUGUAGCGGUGAAAUGCGUAGAGAUCGGGAAGAACACCAACGGCGAAGGCAGCUCGCUGGGACGGUACUGACGCUGAGACGCGAAAGCGUGGGGAGCGAACAGG
rnacentral:rRNA from 1 species